AAAAAUUGAACAUGGCCAAUAUUAUUCACAAACUCACCAGAAACAAAUCAACACUAAGAAUCUUCAAAAAUCUACAGAAACCCACACCAAGUCUCACUAACACAAGCAAUCCAAUAAUAUUUGUAAACCCUACAGCCUCUGAGAACGACAAUUCCAUUCAAAGCUUUCGGUUUUACCCGAGUUUCCCAUUUGGGUAUUGCUUGAAUCCGAUUUCUUCAACUGGGUUUUCUCAAUUGAAUGCUAUUGAUGCAGGAGUGGUGGAGACUGAUGAUGAUGCAACAACAGUAUGGGCGGAUAGUGUGAAAAAGAAGAGGAAGAAGAAGAUGAACAAGCAUAAGUACAAGAAGCUUAGGAAGCGCCUCAGACGAAAAACCUAGGCUGAUUAGGUUUUUUAAUCGAAGUUUUCCAAUUAGAUUUCUUUUGUUCUUUGGAGUAAUUGAGGAUAUGCUAUGCUUCAAUUUAUAGAAAUUGGAAUCUUUUACAUAAUUUUUUUAUAGGGAAUUUCGUCGAGAUAAGAAUAAGACUCGUGUCUUUGUGCUCAUAUUAUUGACAUUUUAUCUUAUGCGCUUAAUUGGAAGUUGUUUGCUUCUUUAUGUGAUUGAUUCACCGAGGACGUUUUAGUUCCUUAAAGAUACAAAUCCAGCCGGGUUGAGAUUUGCUGCUAAGAAUGAGCCAAUCUGGAAUCUCGAUAUGCUUUCCGGUGUAAUUAUAUAUGUUACUCCGCACUCAUAUGAAAAUGGUUUCUCUUUGAAAAUAAAACGUUAUAAUUGUGUGCAUGUGUUCGAGAACUAUAUGAAAUAUGUAUUAUUCUAUUUAUCGUAAUGUUACAGAGUGAUUGUGAUGAUAGAAGUGUAUGGAAGAUUGAUUUUGAUUUCUUGAUAAAUACAACUGUACUUUGCG
rnacentral:lncRNA from 1 species